GGCGGCCGUAACUAUAACGGUCCUAAGGUAGCGAAAUUCCUUGUCGGUUAAAUACCGACCUGCAUGAAUGGCGUAACGAGAUGGGAGCUGUCUCAACCAGAGAUUCAGUGAAAUUGUAGUGGAGGUGAAAAUUCCUCCUACCCGCGGCAAGACGGAGAGACCCCGUGGA
rnacentral:rRNA from 1 species